AACAUUGAUGAUGAAAUAAAAUAAGAAGAAGGGGAAGGGGAAGAUAAGGAGAGAAUACUGCAGGCUCAUUAUUCAUUCAUCUUCAUAUUUUUUUUGCGAUUAUUAUUAUUCAUUGUUGUUCCAAUAUUA
rnacentral:ribozyme from 1 species